UGACGUCAAGUCCUCAUGGCCUUUAUGACCAGGGCUACACACGUACUACAAUGGCCGGUACAAAGGGCAGCGACACAGCGAUGUGAAAGCGAAUCCCGAAAAGCCGGUCUCAGUCCGGGAUUGGAGUCUGCAACUCGACUCCAUGAAGUUGGAAUCGCUAGUAAUCGCGGAUCAGCACGCCGCGGUGAAUACGGUUCCCGGGCCUU
rnacentral:rRNA from 1 species